UGCUCUUAGGGCCCCGCUUUGCCGUGUGUUUUCACUUCCUUCUCUUCCGAGCUGUAUCCGGGUCGUUGCUUUCUCUAUUGUCUCAGGCAAACGACCUCGGACUUUGCAAAUUCUGGGUCUUUUGUUGCUUCUGGUGCAAGCUAAUAAAGUUUUUCUUUCUUUUAUUUUUUUCUAACAGUUUUAACGGAGGAAAUUAACUCCCCAGAGCUGCCGGGGCCUGAGGGAGCCUCUGGCACUGGAGCGCCGUGGGAAGGGGCGCGAGCGGCCGGGGCCGGUUCGGCAAGGACUAGGGGGCGGGGUGGGGGGCGGGAGGGGACCUCAGCGCUGCUCUCUAGGCGCCCGGGCCCGGUCGGCGGCGCCGCCGAUUUUAAGUAGCAUCUUUCGGAUUUGUUCCCGCGGUAUCAGUCCCGACUUCAGCGCUGCCAGGCUCUCGCAGCCUCUCCCUAGGUCUCCUCCAAACGACCACCUCACGGAUUCCUUAUGGAUCGCAGCUCCAAGAGGAGGCAGGUGAAGCCUUUGGCAGCUUCUCUGUUAGAAGCUCUCGAUUAUGAUAGUUCAGAUGACAGUGAUUUUAAAGUUGGAGAUGCCUCAGAUUCUGAAGGGAGUGGUAAUGGAAGUGAAGAUCCUUCAAAGGACAGUGGAGAAGGUUCCUGUAGUGAUUCUGAAGAAAAUAUUUUAGAAGAAGAACUGAAUGAAGAUAUUAAAGUAAAAGAAGAACAACUUAAAAAUUCUGCAGAGGAAGAAAUACUGUCAUCAGAAAAACAGUUAAUUAAAAUGGAAAAGAAGGAGGAAGAAGAGAAUGGAGAAAGACCUAGAAAGAAAAAGGAGAAAGAGAAAGAAAAGGAAAAAGAGAAGGAGAAAGAAAAGGAGAAAGAGAAGGAGAGAGAGGAUAAAGAAAAAGCAACAGUAUCUGAUGCUGUGGCUGCUUCUGCUGCUUCCACCACACCAGCCACAAGUCCUCCUGCUGUUAACACAUCUCCUUCAGUCCCCACUACGACAACCACUACAGAGGAACAAGUCAGUGAGCCAAAAAAGUGGAACCUUCGUCGAAAUCGACCACUUUUGGAUUUUGUAUCCAUGGAAGAGCUGAAUGAUAUGGAUGACUAUGACAGUGAGGAUGACAAUGAUUGGCGACCUACUGUAGUAAAGAGAAAGGGGAGAUCUGCAUCUCAGAAAGAAGGAAGUGAUGGAGACAAUGAGGAUGAUGAAGAUGAGGGAAGUGGGAGUGAUGAGGAUGAGAAUGAUGAAGGCAAUGAUGAAGAUCAUAGCAGCCCUGCCAGUGAAGGGGGUUGCAAGAAGAAGAAGAGUAAAGUUCUUAGCAGAAACAGUGCUGAUGAUGAGGAACUGACCAAUGAUAGCCUGACACUAUCUCAAAGCAAGAGUAAUGAGGACUCGCUGAUUCUUGAGAAGAGUCAAAACUGGAGUUCUCAAAAAAUGGACCACAUUCUGAUUUGCUGUGUUUGUCUUGGAGAUAAUAGCGAGGAUGCUGAUGAAAUAAUUCAGUGUGACAAUUGUGGCAUUACAGUCCAUGAAGUGUUAUGCUCCUGUUCAUUAAAAUAUGCUCAUCGAGGAACUGGAGGUUAUUAUGCUGAGCGAAGUUGUUACGGAGUUGAUGGAGAGAGUGACUCUAUUAUGAGUUCAGCUUCUGAAAACUCCACGGAACCUUGGUUUUGUGAUGCCUGUAAAUGUGGUGUUUCCCCUAGCUGUGAACUCUGUCCCAAUCAGGAUGGAAUUUUCAAGGAGACAGAUGCUGGAAGAUGGGUUCACAUUGUUUGUGCCCUGUAUGUUCCUGGAGUAGCCUUUGGAGAUAUUGACAAAUUACGACCAGUAACACUAACAGAAAUGAAUUAUUCCAAAUAUGGUGCCAAGGAGUGUAGCUUCUGUGAAGACCCUCGUUUUGCUAGAACUGGAGUUUGCAUUAGCUGUGAUGCAGGGAUGUGCAGAGCCUAUUUCCAUGUGACCUGUGCCCAGAAGGAAGGUCUGCUUUCAGAGGCAGCAGCAGAAGAGGAUAUAGCAGAUCCAUUUUUUGCUUAUUGUAAGCAGCAUGCAGAUAGGUUAGACAGAAAAUGGAAGAGAAAAAACUACUUGGCUCUACAAUCCUAUUGUAAAAUGUCUUUGCAAGAGAGGGAGAAGCAACUGUCACCAGAAGCACAGGCAAGGAUCAAUGCCCGGCUUCAGCAGUAUCGUGCCAAAGCAGAACUAGCUCGAUCUACCAGACCCCAGGCCUGGGUUCCAAGGGAAAAAUUGCCCAGACCACUCACUAGCAGUGCUUCAGCCAUUCGUAAGCUGAUGCGGAAAGCAGAGCUAAUGGGGAUCAGUACAGAUAUCUUUCCAGUGGACAAUUCAGAUACUAGUUCUAGUGUGGAUGGAAGGAGAAAGCAUAAGCAACCUGCUCUCACUGCUGAUUUUGUGAAUUAUUAUUUUGAGAGAAAUAUGCGCAUGAUUCAAAUUCAGGAAAAUAUGGCUGAACAAAAGAAUAUAAAGGAUAAAUUAGAGAAUGAACAGGAAAAGCUCCACGUGGAAUAUAAUAAGCUCUGUGAAUCUUUAGAAGAACUACAGAACCUGAAUGGAAAACUUCGAAGUGAAGGGCAGGGAAUUUGGGCCUUACUAGGCAGAAUCACAGGGCAGAAGUUGAACAUACCGGCAAUUUUGCGAGCACCCAAGGAGAGAAAACCAAGUAAAAAAGAAGGAGGCACACAAAAGACAUCUAUUCUUCCUGCAGUACUUUAUAGUUGUGGAAUUUGUAAGAAGAACCAUGAUCAACAUCUUCUUUUAUUGUGUGAUACCUGUAAACUCCAUUACCACCUUGGAUGUCUGGACCCUCCUCUUACGAGGAUGCCAAGAAAGACCAAGAACAGUUAUUGGCAGUGUUCAGAAUGUGACCAGGCAGGGAGCAGUGAUAUGGAAGCAGACAUGGCCAUGGAAACCUUACCAGAUGGGACCAAACGAUCAAGGAGACAGAUUAAGGAACCCGUGAAAUUUGUUCCACAGGAUAUGCCUCCAGAACCCAAGAAGAUUCCAAUAAGAAACACGAGAACCAGAGGACGAAAGCGAAGCUUCAUUCCUGAGGAAGAAAAACAUGAGGUUGGAAUAAGAAAGAAUUCCUAGAGAGAGAAGGCAAAGGCAGUCUGUGUUACAAAAGAAGCCUAAGGCUGAAGAUUUACGAACUGAAUGUGCAACUUGCAAGGGAACUGGAGACAAUGAAAAUCUUGUCAGAUACCCUUCAUGAGACCCAACUCUGCCACAGCUCAUCCUCGGAGGCAAUCCUGGAAACCUCUUUUAUAAGUGUGAUUUUAAAAAUGUGGAUAACACUCUCAAUAGAGUACAUAAAGUAAAGGAGAACAGCUAUCUUGUCCUUCCCAUAAGCUUAUCACUGCAAAAAGUUGCCUUUGCUUGUCAGGUUUGGAUAGAAUGUAAUUGAUUGGUUUGUUGCUUGGACUGACAAGGCAGUUAAUUUGCCUGUGUGGAUUUUUUUCUAUUUUUUUCUUCUUUUUUUUCUUUCUUGCACUAAUCAGAAACAUUUGAUAUGUGCAUUGUUGAAAAAUAGUAGAUAAUGUCUUGUCAAUUGUCCUAUUAAGUAAUGUCUUUCCCUCUUGCUUCUUUGGCAAAUGAUGAUAUACAGUGUUUGGACUUACUGAAGAGUUAUGGAAGCCUGUGGGACUUAAAUGCAAUGUGCUACUCACUGUUGUUGUUGAACAAUACCAGUAACAAACAAGAAAGACAAUGCAUUCCACUAGUCUGCUAUUCUGUUUCAUCCAACUUAAAACAUAUAUUCAUAUGUGAAAUGUUACAUUGGGAAACAACUAUAGACUCUUAUAUUAAAGGUUAUUUCUAUUUAAAAUUCAACAAAAGUGAAAGACUUGUGAAGCAUAUGCCAUUCUAGUUUUGGCUCAUUAGUCCUAGUGUGAAAGCACUAAUAUUAUUAGCAUGAAACUUUUACAACUUCAGAUUUUAAGCUCAUUAGUAAAAUAUAUCUGUGUUGAUCUCUAGAUAUUUUUUUAGUAAUACUCAAAUUUAUUCAGUCUUUACUGAUUUCAUAUGAACUUUCUUUGUUCAAUAUAAUUUUAUUUUUCAUGACCUUAAAUAUGAGGUUAUGAAAUAAAGAGGGAGAUACAAGGCUUAAUGACUAUACAACCUUCCAGCUGAAAGAUCUUCAUCAACAUCUAUAUUUUUCCAGAGGUUUACAGAAUUAAAAUUUGAUCUUCAAGUUUUAAUGAUCCAGUUUUAAAUCAACGACAGAAAUAUGUUGAAUAUUCAUCACUCCAUUGAACUGAUUUAGAAGAGACUCUUGGCUGAAAUUGAAGUGUACAUAUACAUGUAAUUGUUAACAUGUCUCUUGGAAUUUCCUGAUUCAUAAUUGUGGUUUGGACAUCUUUUCAGGUAUAGUGGCAAGUGAAAAUAGUUUAAACUUUAGGAAUAGUGUAGGCAAUGUUAUAGAUAACAAAAGCAAGUGUAGUGUAAAGUUGCUGUAUGCUAGUAAUCUGUAGUUACAGUAAAGAAUCAUAUUAUUGGAUAAGAUGUUUAAUAAAAGUAAUAUGUAUAUAAAAUACGUAGAAACUGAGAUUAUUAACUUAUCAAAAGAUCUUUUAACAUUGGAGGAAAAAUAAUAGCCUAUAGCAAAACCAUUAGGCAUUUUUUUUUUUUCUGGAGUAAGGAAGGACUCAUUAUCUCUACAUAAGCUUAAGGGAAAGUUGAUAAUUAUUACUAUUGCUUAACUGCAACUGAUUAUAAGAAAAAUGACAGAUUGCCAUUUCCUUAAAAGAAUAUGCUAAUGUUCCUGGCCCUCCUUGAUAUAUGGUGAGAAAUUACUAGCGGUCAUUUUAUUUUAGAUUUUUUGAGAAAUCAUUAAGCCUUGUGGUUUUGGUGUCACUAUUAAUCAAAAUCCUUUAUACCCUGAUUCUAAUUAUAAUACUACAUUAUCAUCAUUCUCUGUCUUACAUUCUUCAAUGGUAGAUAUGCUAUUCCAUAUUUGGUGCUAACACUAAAAUCUUUGUCACACAUCGCAAAUACAAAUCUCAUAAUCCAUAAGAUCAUUGGUCCUGCAAACAUGUAUUCACAGUAAGAGAACUUUUAAAGGGAGUAGAAUAAAACAUUUUCUCCUAAUAAUCUCCUAAGUGCUCUCAUAUUUCCACAAUAUGAAGUUAACUCUUUUCCAUAAUUGGUUCAAUUGCUAUUCAAAGGAGAUAUUAAUGUGUCCUUAAGAAAAUAUGCACUAAAUGAUGCAUAUUUCACAGGUGUGUAAAAUCGCCAGGACAGGUAAUCGAUGGCUAUUUCUCACAAGGUAGGGAAAGGAAAAAUACACUAAAAUAUCAGGAAGGAAAUUAAGGGACUCAGAAAUACAAGAAGAAUGACAUAGUAGUAUAUAGGGUGGUUCUCAGACUUCGUAGUGCAUCGGAAUCAUAGGAAGGAUUUGUUAAAACACAGAUUGUUUGUCCACCUCCUUACUGUCCUCCUGCCUGCCUUACUCCCUCCUUUUGUCUCCCUACAGGUUCUAAUUCAAUAGGUCAGAGAUGAUGCUUGAAAAUUUGCAUUUUUAACAAAUCCCUGAGUGAUACUGCUGGUCAGGGACCAAGCACUUUGAGAACCAUUUGUAUAUAAUAGUUUUUAAAAGAAUCAUUGUAUUGUGGUUGACAUUGAUUGAAGAUGGAGUUAAUGUCCUUAAAAGAGCCCUUGCAUUUUCAAAAAUAUUUGUUUCUAGAUAAGUUUGUAGGAGUUACAUCUAUAACACAUACGGUGUCUUUAUUUUUAUAAAGUCAUUUAAACAAUUUCUUUUUACUUUUUAAUUUUAAUUAUUAUGGGGACAGCACUAUUUUAGAUAACAAAUCAGUCAAAGAACAUAGCCUUUGUCCAUAAUUCACUAAUUCUUUGUUUAAAAAAAGGUUGGAAAUUAGGGUUAUGUUUGAACAUGAAAAGGUUAGCCUUAACCUUUAUCCAUCUUAAGUUUAGAAAUGAUAUUUAUGUAUCACUUAUAUACCGUCAUUAUUCAUGUAUUUCUUGACGUUUAUCUGAUUUUACAUUUACGGCAUUAAAAAUAGAUUACUGACCAGUAAAUAAUAAUCACUUACUAUCAUUAUCCUAUUUCCUUGUUUAUACAUCCUAUCACUCUUUUUAAACAAUGUUCCUUAUUUGAUGACAAAACUUACCACUGUUUUACUUGAUUCACAAUAUGGAAAUAUUUUAUGAAUAUUUCACCAAAAUCUAUUCAAGGAGUUGUAGAAGGACUUUCUACAGCAGAGUGAAAUGUAAUGUUAAAAAAAAAAAUUUUUUUUUUUAUUUUCUAAAAUUAUUUUUGACAAAUGAAACUUGUUUAAGAGACUCAGCUUUAGGGUUGCAUGCAUAUGAAGAUAGAUUUUUUUCCUACCUGUCUGAGUCAGCACUUUGUAAAUUUACAUAGUAUUAAGGAUUGUGAUUAAAAAUAUUUCUGAGGUGGACAUGGUUUGCAAAUACUGUUUAUAAAAACAUAGGCCUCUUUCUCCCAGGGCUCACUCUAAGACUUUCUAUAGGCCUGCUGAUAAGAUUCACUGCUGUUCAGGUACAUAAGAUAUAAUGAAAUUGGAUGUUCAUGCUGGGCUUUGUAAAUAAAAUGAGAUUGACCCCAGCUAUUAUCUCAUUUAUCUGAUUUACAUUGUAAAAAUCAGGAUCUACACUAUUGAUUAGAGCAUAAUUAGUUAAUUAUGAACAGGGAAAUACAAAGUUAUGUGGGGUUUGAGCACAGCAGGUUGUACUGCUGAAAAAUUUUCAAGGGCAUGAGCAGAUGGAGAUCAGUUUAUUAAAGAACAAAGCAGACGUGUUUCAGGUAUGGAAAUGUCUAAUCAUUCUUUCAUGCUGUGAGGAGGUACUUGACCUUAAUUGUGUAUUUUUAUAUGAACUCUUUUUGUUUCAUGUUUUAUUUUUUUGUUUCUCUUUGAAUCUUGUAACCUGGCUGUUACAGAUGUAGCUAACUGAAUUGAUGUCAUUAUUUAAGUUAUCAUUAAAUAUGAAUUUGGAUUUCAGUAAUUAUCCAGAUACUUUUAUCAAUUAAUAUACUUUCACGGGUAAAGAGUAUAUUUAUCUUUCUUAUCACUCAUUCAUUCAUUAUUCCCUGUGAUAAAAAUAGAGGUCUAUAGUGGUGUUAAUGAAAAUAUGUUGAAGAUGUCCACAUUAGUCUUCUAUUUGUAAAAUAUGAUAUAAGUACAUUUUCUAAUUAUUUUGUUUAGAAAAUGGUCAUAUAGGUGGUUUGCACUAAAAUUGUAAAAUACAAAGAGUAAAAUGUCUUUAUUGAUAUGAAAUGUUAUUCUGAUAUUGGUAGAAUGCAGAAUUUUGUUCAAGCAUGUAUUAUCUUAAAAGUGAUUUGACUCAUGGGCCACAAUCCAGCAUUUUCUCCAUCUGUUAAAAUGAGUAAUUGAAAUAAUUGGCUACUAUUCAAUGAAAGAAUCUAUCACUACUGUUAAUAGAUUUGUUUGGGUGUUUUAAGCUGCUAGUGAGAUUUUAUUUAAGUAAUGUUAGUAUUAAAGAUAAAUUCUUUUGAUCUUUCUCAUAUAGAAGUUUUACAAAGAAAUCAUGAAAAAGUAAGGAAGCCCAACCCAUCAGUUCUCUCAAUAUUUAGUCUUCUUUUUGAGUGAACAGAUGCAAUAGUAUAUAUAUUUCAAUCAGUAUUUUACCAUAUAUAGACAUGGAUCUAAGUAAAAUGUUCCUUGACAUGAAAAAUAGCUGUGAUUAUGUAUCAACUUGAUCACAAAAAAAUGUACAUCCCUUUUCAAGUCUCAUGUUAAGGAUUUCUCUUCUUCUGAAGUUUAGCUUAUCAUCUGGCUAUAAGUUAUAUGCAUAGGAGGUGCACUUAAUUGUUUCAGUUAGUUUAAAAAUAGGUAUUUAGUGUAUUCUAAUGAAAUUAUCAAUUGGAAAUUAAGAGGGUUAAAGAAAUCCUUUGGAAUACUGGCUUUUAGCCUUUUCUUGGCACAGGCGGAAAUAAAUCAGUUGUUUCUUUUUACUUGUAUUCACAUUCUCAGUAAUCAGAUAAACCAAGGACUGCUUGUUGUAUGGAUCUUAGGACAUGAACAUAAGUCAUUUUCUUCCUCUUCUUUGUCUAGGGUGCUAUACUUAACCGUAUGCUAAGUAAGUAUUUUAAAUACAUAUAGAACUGUGUUUAUUUGGUCACUGCAUUUUGUCAAAUCAUUGUGUAAAAGACCACAUAUAUAUAGCUGCUUUAUUAUUUACAUCUGUAUCCUUUAUGAAUCUGAUACCUAGGAGAUUGUAUUUAGUAAUAAUCUAAACAAUCAGGUUUCCUUUCAUCUUAUAAAUGGGAUUCAUUUUAUCUCAUUAGAACUGUAAUUUUAGAAUGCCCUAUAGUGUUAAUGUGUACAAUAUUUAUUAGAUGUUUAAAGGAUACUUCUUUAAGCAUCCAAUUUGUAUUUUAUUAAAAAAAUUCAUAGUGUUUCUUUAUGGGUUAGUUUAAUAUUCUCUUUAAACAUUUUAAGAUACUGCCUUUCUACUUAGUAUAUGUGCUGUUGGUAUAUUAUAAUUUUUUUUUUUUACAUAGACAUUUGUGUUCUUUAAUAAAGUAUAUUGUGUUAUAUCACUGUGCUUUUGUGGGUCAAUGACUGCUCUUGGAAAAGAUUUUAAAACAUUCACUUUUUUGAUUAAUUAAAUAUGUAUGUGUCCUAUGUGCUGCAGUUACGUGUUUCCAGGUGUAUGUAAGAAAUAGAAGUAGAGACCAUAAAUGAUAAUUUGAUCAAUAACUACUUCAACUUUAUUUCACCUUUUAGGUAGCAGAAUGAUUGCAGACCCUUAGGAGUUUCUGAUUUUCAAUUUUUAAAAAAGAUCUAAAUUUAUAACAUAGCUAGAAUUUAUUGGCUGACAAAAUUUGCUAAAGUUUCCAAAGUGGUGUGUGUGUGUGUGAAUGAAAUAAGUAAUCCACUACUUUUACCAUCUACAUUGUUCUUCGGUUUCUAGGAUUCUUGAUGGUAUCUCUUGCAUUUGUCUAUGAUGUAUUAAUUCUUACAAAUUCUGUUGGAGUUUACUUGUAUCAUUCAGGAUAUUUUUGUUACCAGCACAUAAAGCUAUGGAUGUCCUCAAUAUUCUAAUGUAGAAAUAACCAUAUUUUUUCCACAUGGAAAUAAGUCUAGUCAUUUGUAGAAAGAGCUUUAAUUUGCAUAUUUAUUAACAGAGCUAUUGAUUUCAAGAUUGAUUUAUUUCUCUGUGUUUUUCCUCUCCUGGAUUUUGACAGUUCCUAAGUAUAUUAACAGUUUUUUUUUUACUGAUGAGUGUGCUAUAACUUGAGAGAAUUCUCAUAUCACCCCCUAAUUCUGACAAGCAAAUUUUGCCUUUCCUCUGAGACCCAUUACAAAUACAUUAGAGUUCCAUAUGGAGACUAAGUUAUUCUAAAAGGUAUUACUAAUGAAGUAGUCAGUAAGGAUUACAUUAUUUCCAAAUGGCAUAUACUUUCAGCAUUAUCAUCUAACAAAUCUAGCAUAUAAAACCUUUCUUUUCCCUGUGCAUUUAUUCUUGAGCUGGUAACUUGAUUUUAUAAUAAAUUGAAAAAUCCGGUACAAACUGGAACUAUAUCUAAGUGUAGCAAACUUGUUCUUAAAUGUAUUAGCUGGAAAUACAUAGAUACAACAAGAAUCACCUGCAUAGAUGAAGGUGAAAAAUAAUGUUAAAAUUCACCCUUAUAUUCAUGAUGUUUGAUGUGAGUUAUACACUAUAAAUCAUAAAUUCAAGUUAUGACACAGUUUUAAAGUAAAUAUGCAAUAAUUAGGUUGUUAACUCUUCACCUAUCAAGAGCCCGGAUUAUUGGCAAUCUGAACUCUAAGGGAUGUUGCCCAAAAACCUGAAGUGAAGCAAAAAGGACUAUAUAGUUAACCAAAAUUUAAUCCAUGUACUUAACUCAGUCGAAGUUCUCAUUUUCAUGUCUUUUAACUGUCCCUUUGCAUAGUUUUACCAAGGUUAAAGAUCUGUUUUCUAAAUCCACAACAAAUUACUGUUAGGGAAAUGCUUAGACAAAUAGAGUCACAAUAUCAGAAAGCAGUAGCCGAUAAUUUUCAAGCAGUUCAGGACCCUGAAAACCUAUAAAAGUUGAAUACAAGAAUUCAAACAGAACAGCAGACAGAUAGUACUCCAAACACAAAAGGCUGGCACGCUGUUAGACACACAGCAGCAUGUUACUUGUAUUCAUGACCCUGAGAUGACAAAAUAAAGUAAAUUAUAUUUAAUGUAUUUUCUUGAUGAAGCAAAGAAGGUGAUUCUUUUUAAAUUUCCCAUCAAAGAUGAUUCUGAAGGUUCCUUUAACUAUAUGUAAUGUAAUUGAAGUUUUAACUAUUGAAAGGUAAAUAAGUUGAAUUGACAAGAAAGAACAUAAAAUUGUGUGGGCUUGCCAUUUAGUCUCUUUAUGUUACAUAUUAUCUAUUAUUUUUUCUUAAUGCCAGAAUAACACGUAUUUGAAUAUUUUGGCUGCUUUUAAAUAUAUUUUGGUUUAUUUAUAUUGGCAUAGUAAAUAAAGUGCUCUUAUUCAUAUUUGAUUUUAGUUUUCAUGUAGCUAGGAAUUACCAUGAUAGACAAGUCUGUGUCUUGAGUCUAAAAAAAGGUUUUUGGAAAAGUGCAUAAGUUUAUUUGGUUCAUAAGAAGAAAGUUGUAGAGGAAGAAAUGCAUUAACUUAUGACAUACUGUGUUUUAAACUUAUUUAUAACUGAAUAACUUAGCUAAAGUUGCUAACUUUCUAAAACUCUUGAUUUCCAAAAUGGGUCUUUGGACGAUUGGAUUUUGUAGCAUGAUUUGACAUUUUUACAUAAAUGUAGAUUUAUAGUCCCUUUUAUUGUGAUGGUUUUUGAAAAUCAAUUAUUUUUCUUUGUGUUUGGUUUAUAACACUAGUUCCUUCCCCCUUGUUUCUAAUAAAGGUUACUGAAUAGUAAUUUUGCAUUUUAUUCAAGUAAUACAUGUAUUAUAAAAUUUUUCUCUUAGUUUCAUAGUUGUGGAUUUCUCAGUGUUUUAAAUCAGUAAGAGAAAAUAAUAUAUAAGAGAAUGACAGAUUGAAGAAAAGUAUUUAAUUUUAACUUAAAAGAGCACAAAGAAAAUGAGGAGAUAAUCCUUUCUAUAAGAUGUAUACAUCUUUGUUACUUGUUGUUAAAUUUUGGUCUUGUUAUUCCAACUGAUGCAAAUUUCUUUUUACAAAAACAAUGAAAUAAUGCAGA